UCAUACCUACGGGGGGCAGCAGUAGGGAAUCUUCCACAAUGGGCGAAAGCCUGAUGGAGCAACGCCGCGUGGGUGAAGAAGGUCUUCGGAUCGUAAAACCCUGUUGUUAGAGAAGAAAGUGCGUGAGAGUAACUGUUCACGUUUCGACGGUAUCUAACCAGAAAGCCACGGCUAACUACGUGCCAGCAGCCGCGGUAAUACGUAGGUGGCAAGCGUUAUCCGGAUUUAUGGGGCGUAAAGAGAACGCAGGCGGUCUUUUAAGUCUGGUGUGAAAGCCUUCGGCUUAGCC
rnacentral:rRNA from 1 species